UGAAAAGCUACCGUUAAAUUUACUUAACUAUAGAAACCUCUACCUAAGGCAAUCCUAUCAG
rnacentral:tRNA from 1 species